UUACGGUCAUAACACGUUGAAAACACCGGUUCCCAUACGAUCACCGAAGUUAAGCAACGUCGAGCUUGGUCAGAUGGGUGACCGUUUGGA